UGCCCGUGUGGGGGCUCGCGGCUGAGUAGCAUGGUGAGUGUACGGGCAGCGAGUGGGCUGGGAGCCGCGUUUACGCCGGUUAUGCGAGGGUGCGGGCGCGGGCGGUGGGGCUGUGGCGGGGCAGCCAUCGGGUAGGUACAGCCGCUGGUACGUGGGAGCAGCAGGUUGCUGGUAUGGCCGGGUAUUUAGUAGCGCGUGGACUGUGUGGGUGUGUGGGCCGGUGAUUAGUGCGCGGGCUGGCAUUUGCCUGAUUGGGGACCUCCAGGUCCCCGUCCAUCGCGUGGUCCCUAGGGUUUUGCAUUGUUGAGCGAGUGGGGCGAACUCCCUCGCGGCACUCAUGUAGAAAGCUAGGUCCUUUGUGGGGUCGGAGGGAUCAUGAACCGUAGAGCCGGGUAGGGCGUCGUCAUUGGCUACGACCUCGGGGUUGCUUGUGCGUGUGUCGUGUUUGAUGAAGUGAGAAUGACGUUGCUUUGCCGUUUGCUUCGGUUUUGCCUGCAGGACUUCUAGGGAAGGCUUUGGUGGAGCCGCGGGGCUCGGUAGUGCCUCUUGCCAGCGGGCCAGGAGGGAGGUGAGAGUUCGUUGGGGUAUGGGUUUAGGUAGGUCUCCAGCUGAAUUGAGGUCGGCCUUGGAGACGCCGGCGGGCAGGGUGCGGCUUUGCAUGGGGAGGGGUUUGUGGCCCAUAGAUUUGGGGGGUGCUUCUGCCGGUUUACAUAGGGCGAUGGUAAAUCGGUUUAAGGCCCUCUUGUGCUUGUCUUUCACCCUGCCUUUUGGGAACCGCCGGUCAAGCUGCGUGGUGUCAAUAACGUGCCGCCCUGUGUUUGCGUCCACCAGGUCCGCCAGGUUCAGUCCAAGGUCGAUGGUCAAGGGGCUGAUCCAGUCGGCGCGAAGGUAGGCGGGCGUGGUGGCUUCAGCGGCCCGUAGUUUAGAGACAAGGGCUGGUAGGGCGGCAGUGAAUUCUUUGCCUUGCAGCAUGGCAAGUAGGUCGUGGUCCUGUAGAAGUGUGAGUUGUUUAAGGGUGACAAAAAAUUGACCCGCCCUUUUCAUGUCGUGCAGUGGGAGGUCACUUCCUGCGUGCGCGGCCUGUAGGUGGAGCAGGCGGCGUGUCACGACACCAAGCCGGCCGGUGUCGUUGAGCGAGAUUACGAGUAGCCUCGAGGCUCUCUGCACGUAUUCUUCCCGGAGCGAGCCGAUCCCGAGGCCGCCUAGCUCGGCGGGUAGUAGGAUGGCGCGGGUGGCGCAAUCGCGUGGUAGACCGACGCAUCUUCGAGCGAUGCCUGCGAUUUGGGCGUCCAAGGCCCGAAUGUCUGGCUGCGUGUAGGCCAUGGUUGGUAAGGAGUAGGCCACUUUGGCUUUCAGGCACUGUUUGAUGAGCAUGUAGCAUUGGCGUGGGAGUUUUCGGUACCUGCUCAGCUCCUCGCCGGCGUCGGUUAGGUCGGCUUUGACCGCUUUCAGUUGAGGGCGCCAGUCUAGUGUCAUAGUGAUUUCAACACCGAGGUAUCGGUAGGGCUUGUGCGGGGGAAUGUAAGGGAGGGUGAUGGCGGAUCGCUUGCCGUCUUUGGUGCAUGUGCCGACAUGGAUAUGGCCCGCGAGGAGGCGUUUGAGAGUGCGGUCACAGGCGGGGCCCUUAAUGCUCUUGUCCGUACUGUUGGCGCUUGCAUAGUGGUGUAGUAUGCCAGUGCACGCGCUCUUGUCGCGGUUGAUGCGCAUGCCGCCCCAGGCAGCGUACCGGGCGAUCUUGUCAGUUUGGCACCUAAGGUUGUCUCGGGAGUUGGCAGCUACAGUCAGGUCGUCCGCGUAGCCUAGGGACGAGCAGUUAUGUUCGUCGUUUUCGCUGUUGGUGAGACAGCCGUACCGGUAGCCUCGUCCCCCGUAGUGGAGCCACCGCAGCAGCGGUUCAAGGAAGAUAAUGAACAGUAGGGGCGAUAGGGUGUCGCCCUGCAUAGUGCCGCGCCGUAUGUGAACAGGGUUGGUGCGGCCGUGUGUUGUGCGGAUUGUGGUGUUUGCGGAGGAGUACAGAUUGCGUACGACUUCAAUAAAGUCGGUUGGUAGGCCCAGGUGGUGCAUUAUUGUAAGCAAACGGUCGUGGUCAAUGGUACCGAAGGCGUUCGAGAAAUCAAUGUAUGCGACAUAUAGGUCUCGUUUUGUUAAGGCUGCGUCUUCUAUUACAUGCAGUAGGUUCAUGAUUUGGCGUUCUGUUCCCUUGUGCUUCUGAAAGCCCUCUUGUGCUUCGCUGUGGAUGAGAAGAUCUGUGCACGCUUCAGUUGCCGCCCGGGUGACUAAGCUGGUAUACAGCUUGUACAGUGUGUUGCACAGCGCAAUAGGCCUGUAGUUAGAGAUGGAGAGCGGGUCUGCCUUUUUGUACAGGAGAAUGGUGUCGCUUGUGGACCAGCCGGCCGGGAGUUCGGCCUUAAUCCACGCGACGCACAUGAGGGUAUGGACAGCGGAUAGUAACGCCUCUGGCAUGCACUUCAGUAGCUCGUUCGGGAUGCCGUCCGGGCCGGGGCUUUUAUUGCGGGAGAGGGCCUGCAUGCACCUCUGGAAGUUGCUGGAGUCGGCGACGUUGGGCAGCAGGGACUGAGCGUCUGGGUGUGCUGUGCGGGCCAGUAGGAAGCCGCCGUCGGGCGCUCCGGGUUCGUUCCACGGGAAAGUUGCGUCCUUGUCCUCGGGUCUGUAGCGGCCGGUGCGCUGGCCUCCGGUAGGUUCCGCGGCUGCCUGGAAGUGGGCGUGGAGCGCGUCGUUGAUGUCGGAACUGGUUGUGGCUAUGUGUUGGGUUGCGGGGUGCCGCACAGCCGUGAGGUUUUGCCGGGGCCCUGAUUUUCCGAGCAUAAUUUUGGCUGCCUUGCUUUGUGAGGUUGCAAAGAGUUUGGACAUCUUAGUCAGCCAUUUGCUAGCGGCCUUGGCGCUGGCUUCUUUCUGUGUGGUGCGGCGUGUUUUGAGUGCGUCUUGCCACUCCUGCCGGGCGGCAGUGGCG
rnacentral:lncRNA from 1 species